AUGUACCACGCGUACACAGCGGUUCCUGCGCGCCGCCUGCAGCCACCUGACGACUGCUUGCUGCGUUUUGCUAGCC
rnacentral:sRNA from 1 species